rnacentral:lncRNA from 1 species
UCUCCCCCUUUAUUGAUCAUUCCAUUUAAGAGUUUAGAAUUUGAAGAUAAUGUUCAAUAAAAUUGUCAAUCUCAAAAAUGUAUUUUCUAUAAGUUUCAGCUCAUUUUCAUAAGACUCAAGGUUUGAGAUAAGACAGCCUUUAUAGAACUCAUCUCAAGGUAAUUAAAGCAUGUCUUGCAAUAUAAGGAGGUUCAUCAAAAUCAAUCCAUAAAAUUCAAGGUAUGCAUCAAAUUAAAGUUUCUUUAGGAUAAGAUACUGAAUAUCUAAAGCUCCCCUCAAAAGAUGCAUUCUUCUUUAAUCAUUCUUUUCUUUGGUUGAAUUUCAGAAUUUAAUAAUAAACGUGAAUAAAACUGAAAUUCUAUGUUAUCGAGAAUGUAGAGUGAUCUAGAAUUAUUCAAAAUUUAUAGUAUUCACUCUAUAUAUAUAUAUUCUGAUGAUAGUUUCUAAGAAUGUAGGAGAGAAAAACAUAUAGAUGAUCAUUGAGGUAUGUGUAUUUAUAGAACUC